rnacentral:rRNA from 1 species
AUUGGACGCUGGCGGCAGGCUUAACACAUGCAAGUCGAACGGUAGCAGGAGAAAGCUUGCUUUCUUGCUGACGAGUGGCGGACGGGUGAGUAAUGCUUGGGAAUCUGGCCUAUGGAGGGGGGAUAACGACGGGAAACUGUCGCUAAUACCGCGUAUUAUCGGAAGAUGAAAGUGCGGGACUGAGAGGCCGCAUGCCAUAGGAUGAGCCCAAGUGGGAUUAGGUAGUUGGUGGGGUAAAGGCCUACCAAGCCUGCGAUCUCUAGCUGGUCUGAGAGGAUGACCAGCCACACUGGAACUGAGACACGGUCCAGACUCCUACGGGAGGCAGCAGUGGGGAAUAUUGCGCAAUGGGGGGAACCCUGACGCAGCCAUGCCGCGUGAAUGAAGAAGGCCUUAGGGUUGUAAAGUUCUUUCGGUAUUGAGGAAGGUUGAUGUGUUAAUAGCACAUCAAAUUGACGUUAAAUACAGAAGAAGCACCGGCUAACUCCGUGCCAGCAGCCGCGGUAAUACGGAGGGUGCGAGCGUUAAUCGGAAUAACUGGGCGUAAAGGGCACGCAGGCGGUUAUUUAAGUGAGGUGUGAAAGCCCCGGGCUUAACCUGGGAAUUGCAUUUCAGACUGGGUAACUAGAGUACUUUAGGGAGGGGUAGAAUUCCACGUGUAGCGGUGAAAUGCGUAGAGAUGUGGAGGAAUACCGAAGGCGAAGGCAGCCCCUUGGGAAUGUACUGACGCUCAUGUGCGAAAGCAUGGGGAGCAAACAAG